AGAGUUUGAUCAUGGCUCAGGAUGAACGCUAGCGGCAGGCCUAACACAUGCAAGUCGAGGGGCAGCACGGUGUAGCAAUACACUGGUGGCGACCGGCGCACGGGUGCGUAACGCGUAUGCAACCUACCCAUAACAGGGGGAUAACACUGAGAAAUUGGUACUAAUACCCCAUAACAUCAGGACCGGCAUCGGUUCUGGUUGAAAACUCCGGUGGUUAUGGAUGGGCAUGCGUUGUAUUAGCUGGUUGGUGAGGUAACGGCUCACCAAGGCAACGAUACAUAGGGGGACUGAGAGGUUAACCCCCANAUUGGUACUGAGACACGGACCAAACUCCUGCGGAGGCA
rnacentral:rRNA from 1 species